CCCUCUGGGGCAGUUCCAGCCUGCGCAGAGAAGGCUCGGAUGGGUCGAGAAAGAGAAGACAGACCAUCUCUAUUUCCACACACCCUCAGCUGGAGAAACAAAACAAAGGCAGCCCUCCUUCCCGGUAGCCACUACCCCAGCCACAGAGGCUUUCCUAUUUCCCGGUGCAGUCUGGCCUCCCGCCCCCGCCCCAUGACAAAGAAAAGGCACUUGGUGAGCAAGGCCUUCCUGCCUCCACGAUUGGGGGAGGGGGCUGCGAGGUCCCUCUCCGUGAGAUUUGGGGAAGAGCGCUGCCUAUACUUUAGAGUACCUGGUUGCAAAAUAUUGAGGUUGGCCUGGUUUGAGCUUGGAAAGGAAGACGGGGACAAAAGCCGAAGAGUCAGUGCGAGGCCAACCUGUGUACUUCCUUGCCAGUCAGCGCUACAGAGUGAGACCGCCUCUAAAGACAAAAGGCUGCGGUUGAACUUUUACUUCGUACGGAUCCUUUCUGCUUGUUCUACCUGGAUAUGUCAUGACUGAAGAGAGAUAGGGAGACAUGGUCUUCAGUCCCUGGGUUAGGAUACUCCAGGAUUGUUCGCUAAGGAAACCAGGAGACUGUUGGGCACAGGGGCUCACGCUUUUGAUUUCAGUACUUGAUAGGCAGAGGCAGGCUGAUUGAAUUCAAGGCCAACCUAGUCUACCUAACUAGUUCCAGGACAGCCAGAGCUACAAAGCAAACUGUCAGAGCUGUCUCAAAAAAACAAGCAAACAAACAAAAAUAGAAACCAGAAUACUGAAAUAAAUUCCAAACAUACCAUUUUGGGUACAGAAAGCUCCAUUAACCCCUUGUUUGAUCAGCUUCUGUAAAAGAGGACUGAUUACACUUAAAAGAAUUUGUAAUGGUUAAAUUGAAUCUACAGGUAAUAAGACUUUAUUUUACAAAAGUUUCAGAUUUAUAGAAACAGUUCUCAUGUACUUAGCACCCAGUACCCCUAUUGUAACAUCUUCCAUAGUAUAGGGCAGUUAUUGUGACUAUAAAACAAUACUUACAGCUUAGCAUGAUGCUACAUGUUUGUGACCCCCAAGAUUCUGAGGCUGAAGCAGAAAGAUCACUUCAAAUUCUAGGCCUGCCUGACCUUCAGAAGAACCUGUCUUAAAACCAAGUGGUUCUGCUGCUCCCUGUAAUCCCCAGCCCUCUGGGUACAGAGACAAGAGAAUCAAUUCUGGGCUACAAGACCCCACUCAAGCACAAGGAGCCUGAGAGAAGCCUCAGCAGAUACAGGAACUGCUGUUAAGUCUGAUGACAGAGGAGUCUAGGAUCCACAUGGUGGAAGUGAAGAACUGACUCCCACAAGCUGUCCUCUGACCUACACUCAGUGCUUGCAGUGGCACACAAUAAAUAAAGAUGUAAAAAUCGUUUAAA